rnacentral:rRNA from 1 species
GACGAACGCUGGCGGCGUGCUUAACACAUGCAAGUCGAACGGAAAGGCCCUGCUUUUGUGGGGUGCUCGAGUGGCGAACGGGUGAGUAACACGGGAGUAACCUGCCCUUGACUUUGGGAUAACUUCAGGAAACUGGGGCUAAUACCGGAUAGGAGCUCCUGCUGCAUGGUGGGGGUUGGAAAGUUUCGGCGGUUGGGGAUGGACUCGCGGCUUAUCAGCUUGUUGGUGGGGUAGUGGCUUACCAAGGCUUUGACGGGUAGCCGGCCUGAGAGGGUGACCGGACACAUUGGGACUGAGAUACGGCACAGACUCCUACGGGAGGCAGCAGUGGGGAAUAUUGCACAAUGGGCGGAAGCCUGAUGGAGCAACGCCGCGUGCGGGAUGACGGCCUUCGGGUUGUACACCGCUUUCGCCUGUGACGAAGCGUGAGUGACGGUAAUGGGUAAAGAAGCACCGGCUAACUACGUG